rnacentral:rRNA from 1 species
AUUGAACGCUGGCGGCAGGCCUAACACAUGCAAGUCGAACGAGUGGCGGACGGGUGAGUAAUGUCUGGGAAACUGCCUGAUGGAGGGGGAUAACUACUGGAAACGGUAGCUAAUACCGCAUACCAUCAGAUGUGCCCAGAUGGGAUUAGGUAGUUGGUGGGGUAACGGCUCACCAAGACGAAGAUCUCUAGCAGGUCUGAGAGGCUGACCAGCCACACGGGAACUGAGACACGGCCCAGACUCCUACGGGAGGCAGCAGUGGGGAAGAUUGCGCAAUGGGCGAAAGCCUGAUGAAGCCAUGCCGCGUGUAUGAAGAAGGCCUUCGGGGUGUAAAGUACUUGCAGCGGGGAGGCGUUACCCGCAGAAGAAGCACCGGCUAACUCCGUGCCAGCAGCCGCGGUAAUAC